rnacentral:rRNA from 1 species
AAAUUGAAGAGUUUGAUCAUGGCUCAGAUUGAACGCUGGCGGCAGGCCUAACACAUGCAAGUCGAGCGGUAGCACAGAGAGCUUGCUCUCGGGUGACGAGCGGCGGACGGGUGAGUAAUGUCUGGGAAACUGCCUGAUGGAGGGGGAUAACUACUGGAAACGGUAGCUAAUACCGCAUAACGUCGCAAGACCAAAGUGGGGGACCUUCGGGCCUCAUGCCAUCAGAUGUGCCCAGAUGGGAUUAGCUAGUAGGUGGGGUAACGGCUCACCUAGGCGACGAUCCCUAGCUGGUCUGAGAGGAUGACCAGCCACACUGGAACUGAGACACGGUCCAGACUCCUACGGGAGGCAGCAGUGGGGAAUAUUGCACAAUGGGCGCAAGCCUGAUGCAGCCAUGCCGCGUGUGUGAAGAAGGCCUUCGGGUUGUAAAGCACUUUCAGCGGGGAGGAAGGCGUUAAGGUUAAUAACCUUGGCGAUUGACGUUACCCGCAGAAGAAGCACCGGCUAACUCCGUGCCAGCAGCCGCGGUAAUACGGAGGGUGCAAGCGUUAAUCGGAAUUACUGGGCGUAAAGCGCACGCAGGCGGUCUGUCAAGUCGGAUGUGAAAUCCCCGGGCUCAACCUGGGAACUGCAUUCGAAACUGGCAGGCUAGAGUCUUGUAGAGGGGGGUAGAAUUCCAGGUGUAGCGGUGAAAUGCGUAGAGAUCUGGAGGAAUACCGGUGGCGAAGGCGGCCCCCUGGACAAAGACUGACGCUCAGGUGCGAAAGCGUGGGGAGCAAACAGGAUUAGAUACCCUGGUAGUCCACGCCGUAAACGAUGUCGAUUUGGAGGUUGUGCCCUUGAGGCGUGGCUUCCGGAGCUAACGCGUUAAAUCGACCGCCUGGGGAGUACGGCCGCAAGGUUAAAACUCAAAUGAAUUGACGGGGGCCCGCACAAGCGGUGGAGCAUGUGGUUUAAUUCGAUGCAACGCGAAGAACCUUACCUGGUCUUGACAUCCACAGAACUUUCCAGAGAUGGAUUGGUGCCUUCGGGAACUGUGAGACAGGUGCUGCAUGGCUGUCGUCAGCUCGUGUUGUGAAAUGUUGGGUUAAGUCCCGCAACGAGCGCAACCCUUAUCC